CGCCCCGCCGCAGCCGGGGCCGUCCUCCGCGUCCCGGUCGCGGCGCUGCCUUCCUGCCCGAGCCUCGCCGGCAGGCAGCCAGACACCCUUGUCGCUUGCAGGGCAGCGCCGUGUUUUUGGCGUCAGCCGCGGCUUGUUUGACGGGUUUGGAUGGGAGACGUGAUGGGAGCAGCAGUACCCGGCAGCCAGAACCAAAAUUAACGUGUUCCAUCCAUUGUAGCCGCAGAUGCAAAGCAGCGCGACGGGGUUGCUUGUACUUUGAGCUGUACAGCAACUGUGAAGGGUGUAAUAACCCACAGCAUCACUCCAGUUAGAAGUGGCCAUUCCUCAGGUUGGAAAUAAAUGAGCCAGAAGAAGAGAGAUCUUUGUGAUUCAUCCACUUACACAAGAGUAGGAAGAGCUGCAUUCUCACUGUUGCUGUAGUUGUGUCUUAAUUAUGCAGUCAUGAAGUUGGGGAGAAAAGAAAAUGCUAAGUCAAACAAAAAAAGUAUUUUCCACCUUUGACCUACAACUUGUACCUGGCUGCUUUCUUGGUAAGGUAUGUAUUCCAUAUACCUUAAGUUACUGUGGUAGGAUACUGUUACACAGAUAUGAAUGGAGGGGCUUAAAUUCUGCUUCAUCAAAUAUUAAACAUUUUCUUUAGCUCACAGUAGUUAGGGAAGGCAUGGGUAUCUCUGUGUUGGGCUUCACCUUAUCUAACUACCAAAUAGUCACAGUUAUGCAUGGAAAAGAAGUAAAUCAAUAUAUAGUAGAAUUUAUUACACCAAUGUUCAAGAUUGCCAUAGAUAAAUCACUUAGUAGAUUGUAUUUUUAAGUAGAUAAUUUCCAUGGGUAAGUAAUGUCUGUACAUGCUGUUUCUUUAUAUACUACUAUGUAGACAUUUCUCCAGAAAAGAUAGCAUUCUAGCAACAAGAAUAAUGUGUCUAUCUAGAGAGGGUGUAAGUUCUGCUAGGCUCCUGAGAAAUCUCUGUGCAUUAAAAACAAAGUUUAAAUUGGUUUCAUUUCAGACUCUUCUGUAAGGAGAUGCAAAUGAAGUCUCAUGUAUACCAGUUUUGUUAACAGUGUUGUUGAGAAAGGCAGGAAAUGGUGAGGAGGGAAAGGAAAGCAAUCUGAAAAAGCACAGAAAAGAAAAAAAUACCAGUAAUUAGAGAAAACUAAAUCGAGGUACUACAUUGUAAACAUAAAAUUUAGGCACUUUAUCAUCUUGUUCAUAACAGCACUUACAUUUAAAAGCUGGGGGG